rnacentral:rRNA from 1 species
UACAGAGGUCUCAAGCGUUGUUCGGAUUCAUUGGGCGUAAAGGGUGUGUAGGCGGCGCGUAAGUCGGGUGUGAAAUUCGAUGCUUAACUCCGAAACUGCAUUCGAUACUGCCGUGCUUGAGGACUGGAGAGGAGACUGGAAUUCAUGGUGUAGCAGUGAAAUGCGUAGAGAUCAUGAGGAAGACCAGUGGCGAAGGCGGGUCUCUGGACAGUUCCUGACACUGAGACACGAAGGCCAGGGGAGCAAACGGG